GAUGAACGCUGGCGGCGUGCCUAAUACAUGCAAGUCGAGCGAACAGACGAGGAGCUUGCUCCUUUGACGUUAGCGGCGGACGGGUGAGUAACACGUGGGUAACCUACCUAUAAGACUGGGAUAACUUCGGGAAACCGGAGCUAAUACCGGAUAAUAUUUCGAACCGCAUGGUUCGAUAGUGAAAGAUGGCUUUGCUAUCACUUAUAGAUGGACCUGCGCCGUAUUAGCUAGUUGGUAAGGUAACGGCUUACCAAGGCAACGAUACGUAGCCGACGUGAGUGGGGGGUCGGCCACACUGGAGGUGAGCCGCCGUCCUGGCUCCUACGGGAGGCCGCAGUCGGGUACGUGCCGCAAUGGGCGAAAGCCUUACGGAGCAACGGCGCGUGAGUGAUGAAAGUCUUCGGAUCGUAAAACUCUGUUAUUAGGUAAGAACAAACGUGGAAGUAACUGUGCACUUCUUGACGGUACCUAAUCAGAAAGCCACGGCUAACUACGUG
rnacentral:rRNA from 1 species